rnacentral:rRNA from 1 species
UACAGAGACCUCAAGCGUUAUCCGGAAUCAUUGGGCGUAAAGCGUUCCGAUAGGUUGUUUUGAAAGUCUUGGGUAAAAGCCAGAAGCUUAACUUCUGCGUUUGCUUAAGAUACUGCAAAACUAGAGGGGCAAAGAGGAGCUUAGAACGAAUGGUGUAGUAGUGAAAUGCGUUGAUAUCAUUCGGAACACCGAAAGCGAAGGCAGAGCUCUGGGUGCCACCUGACACUGCUAGGACGAAAGCGUGGGGAGCGAAUGGG